rnacentral:rRNA from 1 species
AGAGUUUGAUCAUGGCUCAGAUUGAACGCUGGCGGCAGGCCUAACACAUGCAAGUCGAGCGGUAACAGAUCCAGCUUGCUGGAUGCUGACGAGCGGCGGACGGGUGAGUAAUGCAUAGGAAUCUGCCCGGUAGUGGGGGAUAACCUGGGGAAACCCAGGCUAAUACCGCAUACGUCCUACGGGAGAAAGGGGGCUUCGGCUCCCGCUAUCGGAUGAGCCUAUGUCGGAUUAGCUGGUUGGUGAGGUAACGGCUCACCAAGGCCACGAUCCGUAGCUGGUCUGAGAGGAUGAUCAGCCACAUCGGGACUGAGACACGGCCCGAACUCCUACGGGAGGCAGCAGUGGGGAAUAUUGGACAAUGGGCGCAAGCCUGAUCUAGCCAUGCCGCGUGUGUGAUGAAGGUCUUAGGAUCGUAAAGCACUUUCGCCAGGGAUGAUAAUGACAGUACCUGGUAAAGAAACCCCGGCUAACUCCGUGCCAGCAGCCGCGGUAAUACGGAGGGGGUUAGCGUUGUUCGGAAUUACUGGGCGUAAAGCGUACGUAGGCGGAUCAGAAAGUAAGGGGUGAAAUCCCCGGGCUCAACCUGGGAAUGGCAUUUGAGACUGGCAGGCUAGAGUAUGGUAGAGGUGAGUGGAAUUUCAGGUGUAGCGGUGAAAUGCGUAGAGAUCUGAAGGAACAUCAGUGGCGAAGGCGACUCACUGGGCCAUUACUGACGCUGAGGUGCGAAAGCGUGGGUAGCAAACAGGAUUAGAUACCCUGGUAGUCCACGCCCUAAACGAUGUCAACUAGGUGUAUGGAGAAUUUAUUCUUUGUGUAUCGAAGCUAACGCGAUAAGUUGACCGCCUGGGGAGUACGGUCGCAAGACUAAAACUCAAAUGAAUUGACGGGGGCCCGCACAAGCGGUGGAGCAUGUGGUUUAAUUCGAUGCAACGCGAAGAACCCUUACCUGGGCCUUGACAUGUACGGAAA